UCCUGGCUCAGGACGAACGCUGGCGGCGUGCUUAACACAUGCAAGUCGAACGAUGAAGCUGUGCUUGCACAGUGGAUUAGUGGCGAACGGGUGAGUAACACGUGAGUAACCUGCCCUCCACUUUGGGAUAACUCCGAGAAAUCGGGGCUAAUACUGGAUAUGACUAUGGCCCGCAUGGGUUGUGGUGGAAAGUUUUUCGGUGGGGGAUGGGCUCGCGGCCUAUCAGUUUGUUGGUGAGGUAGUGGCUCACCAAGGCGAUGACGGGUAGCCGGCCUGAGAGGGCGACCGGCCACACUGGGACUGAGACACGGCCCAGACUCCUACGGGAGGCAGCAGUGGGGAAUAUUGCACAAUGGGCGAAAGCCUGAUGCAGCGACGCCGCGUGGGGGAUGACGGCCUUCGGGUUGUAAACCUCUUUCAGCAAGGAAGAAGCGAAAGUGACGGUACUUGCAGAAGAAGCGCCGGCUAACUACGUGCCAGCAGCCGCGGUAAUACGUAGGGCGCAAGCGUUGUCCGGAAUUAUUGGGCGUAAAGGGCUUGUAGGUGGCUUGUCGCGUCUGCCGUGAAAACUCGAGGCUUAACCUUGGGCGUGCGGUGGGUACGGGCAGGCUAGAGUGCGGUAGGGGAGACUGGAAUUCCUGGUGUAGCGGUGAAAUGCGCAGAUAUCAGGAGGAACACCGAUGGCGAAGGCAGGUCUCUGGGCCGUUACUGACACUGAGAAGCGAAAGCAUGGGGAGCGAACAGGAUUAGAUACCCUGGUAGUCCAUGCCGUAAACGUUGGGCACUAGGUGUGGGGAGCAUUCCACGUUUUCCGC
rnacentral:rRNA from 1 species